GGGCGAUUAGCUCAGCGGUAGUAGCGCUUGCCUUACAAGCAAGAUGUCACUGGUUCAAAUCCAGUAUCGCCCA
rnacentral:tRNA from 1 species